rnacentral:rRNA from 1 species
GACGAACGCUGGCGGCGUGCUUAACACAUGCAAGUCGAACGGAAAGGCCCUGCUUUUGUGGGGUGCUCGAGUGGCGAACGGGUGAGUAACACGUGAGUAACCUGCCCUUGACUUUGGGAUAACUUCAGGAAAAUGGGGCUCAUACAGGAUAGGAGAUCCUGCUCCAUGGUGGGGGUUGGUAAGUUUCGGCGGUUGGGGAUGGACUCGCGGCUUAUCAGCUUGUUGGUGGGGUAGUGGCUUACAAAGGCUUUGACGGGUAGCCGGCCUGAGAGCGGUACCGGCCACAUGGGGACUGAGGUACGGCCCAGACUCCUACGGGAGGCAGCAGUGGGGAAUAUUGCACAAUGGGCGGGAGCCUGAUGCAGCGACGCCGCGUGCGUGAUGACGGCCUUCGGGUUGUAAACCGCUGUCGACUGUGACGAAGCGUGAGUGACGGUAAUGGGUAAAGAAGCACCGGCUAACUACGUG